rnacentral:rRNA from 1 species
CCCUUAGAUGUUCUGGGCCGCACGCGCGCUACACUGAUGCAUUCAACAAGCCUAGCCUUGACCGAGAGGUCCGGGUAAUCUUUGAAACUGCAUCGUGAUGGGGCUAGAUUAUUGCAAUUAUUAAUCUUCAACGAGGAAUGCCUAGUAAGCGUGAUUCAUCAAAUCGCGUUGAUUACGUCCCUGCCCUUUGUACACACCGCCCGUCGCUCCUACCGAUUGAGUGGUCCGGUGAGGCUUUGGGAUCUGAGCGGAAAGAGCGUUUCGCUGUUUCUGCUCGGAAAACUCAGUCGAACCUUAUCAUUUAGAGGAAGGAGAAGUCGUAACA